rnacentral:rRNA from 1 species
UACAGAGGUCCCGAGCGUUGUUCGGAUUCACUGGGCGUAAAGGGUGCGUAGGUGGUCGGGUAAGUCUGAGGUGAAAUCUCCGAGCCCAACUCGGAAACUGCCUUGGAUACUAUUCGGCUAGAGGGUUGGAGGGGGGACUGGAAUUCUCGGUGUAGCAGUGAAAUGCGUAGAUAUCGGGAGGAACAUCAGUGGCGAAGGCGGCCUUCUGGUCCAGUACUGACACUCAAGUGCGAAAGCGUGGGGAGCAAACAGG